rnacentral:rRNA from 1 species
GUGGGGAAUCUUGCGCAAUGGGCGAAAGCCUGACGCAGCCAUGCCGCGUGAAUGAUGAAGGUCUUAGGAUUGUAAAAUUCUUUCACCGGGGACGAUAAUGACGGUACCCGGAGAAGAAGCCCCGGCUAACUUCGUGCCGGCAGCCGCGGUAAUACGAAGGGGGCUAGCGUUGCUCGGAAUUACUGGGCGUAAAGGGCGCGUAGGCGGACAGUUUAGUCAGAGGUGAAAGCCCAGGGCUCAACCUUGGAAUUGCCUUUGAUACUGGCUGUCUUGAGUUUGGGAGAGGUGAGUGGAACUCCGAGUGUAGAGGUGAAAUUCGUAGAUAUUCGGAAGAACACCAGUGGCGAAGGCGACUCACUGGCCCGUUACUGACGCUGAGGCGCGAAAGCGUGGGGGGCAAACAGGAUUAGAAACCCCGGUAGUCC